AAAAACACCUUGUGUAAUGAAAAACCCAGAUCUAUAACCUCUCCCUAUAUAUUCUGCAUGCAUUGAAGUAGGCUCAAACCCUCAGGGACCUGGUAUAGACGCAGAAUCUGUUUCACACAACAACUGCUAUUUGAAGGAAAAAAAAAAAAGAAGCAAAUGAUACCAAGACAAGCUCAUAACAGAGAUCCAAUCAGCAGAUGUGUACGGAUGAAAAUACAGUGAGAUGAGUCAGAAAACGGCCAAGGAGGGUCCCAGACUCUCCAAAAACCAGAAGUACUCCGAGCACUUCAGCAUACACUGCUGCCCGCCGUUCACCUUCCUCAAUUCCAAGAAGGAGAUAGUGGAUCGGAAAUACAGCAUCUGUAAGAGCGGCUGCUUCUACCAGAAGAAAGAGGAGGACUGGAUCUGCUGCGCCUGCCAGAAGACCAGAACCAGCCGCCGUGCCAAGUCCCCUCAGAGGCCCAAGCAACAGCCAGCUGCGCCCCCCGCGGUGGUCAAAGCGCCAGCCAAGCCACGGUCCCCUCCGAGGUCUGAGCGUCAGCCACGGUCCCCUCCGAGGUCUGAGCGUCAGCCACGGUCCCCUCCGAGGUCUGAGCGUCAGCCACGGUCCCCUCCGAGGUCUGAGCGUCAGCCACGUCCCCGCCCAGAGGUCCGACCACCGCCAGCCAAGCAGCGUCCCCCUCAGAAGUCCAAGCAACAGCCGCGCAGCAGCCCCCUCAGAGGGCCAGGCGCCAGCCGUGGGGGGUCCCCCGUCAAAGCUUCUAGGUUCUGGUAACACCAUCUCUUCCCUUUUGUUCCCCAGCCCUAAGAUUGAAAAGGAAGAUCAGGCCGACCCCAAAGAAGAAGUGACCAAGGAGGAGUUUAAAGUGAAUGAACGGCCUCGGCUCCUGGACUCAUUGCUUCACAACCCAUCUACCCCUGGAUGAAAUUAUCUGGCUUCAAAUAUUAUGCAGGGGCAAACACCUGCUGAUGCGGCAACUGCUGAUGCUCAUGGUCCCCAUGGCAUGGGGGCCUCAGGGCAGCCUGCCCGGAGGCAACAGUUUACCUACCAUCAAGUUCAGUGCUUUGACUUUGAUCAGCUGACUGGGUUUAUCCAAAGUACAGCACUUUGAAGAUGUCAUCCCAUUGUCUUCUGACCUCUAUAAUUGCCACUGAGAGAUCUGCUGUCAGUCUGCUUAUCCUUCCCUGGACUCAAGUUUCUUCAAUCUGAAGAUACAUGUCUUUCUCCAGGGACAUGUGAAAAAAAAAAGAUGUUACACAACCACCAAAGUGGCAAAAAUAAAAAAAAAAUCAAGUAUUGGCAAAGAUAUGGGGAAAAUUCUCAUAAGCUACUGAUGAGAUUUAUAAAUUAUUAUAACACCUUUGGGUUGCAAUCUGGGGAUACUAGCAAAGCAGAAAAUUGUAUAACCUGUGAUCAAGCAAUUAUAAUUUUAGGCACCCAUCCUAGAGAAAACUUGAAUUCAUAGAAAAAGUAGGUACACGUAAAUCUGUUCAAUGAAUCAUUGUUUGGCAUUGAAAAUGGGAGAGAGAUACAGAGAAAUUACCAAAAUGUCCACCAAUAGAAUGAGUGAAUCACCUGUGGUAUAUUUAUAGAUAAAAAUCUUAAAUAGAAGGUAAAACAAAUCAGAUAUACACACAUUAGAUAGAUAAAUUUAGAGGACAAAAUAAGGAACAUAAAAAGCAAACAGUAGAUGGCAAAUGUAAUAUAAUAUACUAUGCAUAAAUUUUAACAACACACAAUAUUAUAUUGCAUAUUGCCCAAUAAGCAGAAGCCAUAAGGUCUCACACUUUUCUUAUAAUGCAAUAGAAUAAAAAUGACAACAAAGUAAAAGAGUAUCCCCAAAACAAAACUAUCCUUUUGGAAAAAAAAAAAGACUUAAAAUAAUUCCUGGUUUGAAGAAAUAACAGAAAUUAAAAGCUAUAUAUAAAUGGUUAACAAUAUUAGGUGGACAUAUUUGUUUGAAGAGAUAGGUGAAAGAUAGUUGAAAAGCCUGGGGGUAUCUUCAAGGUUAUAUGUCUUAGGAAACAAAAAUACUUGCUUGGGUUCAAUUUUGGAUCUGGGCUUGUUCUUGUGGCUUCUGAUGAUUUCUGACUUGGGGAAAAAUGGGGAAGAGUUGAAAUACAUCCUUCCACCCAAACCUUCAUUUAGUAAUAGGUAGGAAAAUUAAGAAGAAAACAGAAUGUUGCAGAAUGUGGAGGGAUGUAAAAUGGACAGUACUAGGGUAGAGGGAAAGUCAGAUUAGAGGAAAGAAAGAGCAUCAGCAACAGUCUUGUGCUAGGAGCUGGUGUGGCCAAGCACAGUCAGAUGCCCAAAGAUCCAACAAGGCCAUGGCUCUGUGUCCUUGAGUGGGCACAACCAUUCCUAGCCAAGUUUAAGAGGCAAGUAAAAAUAUGGGGGCAAUGUCAGAUGAAGUCUUGUUCAGGGUAUGGGGCUAGGAUGAGAGAGAAUGCCACAGAGUAGGGAGGAAGAGUGAAGGAUCCAGAUGAGAUACAGCUCAGAGUGUCAUGCCCCCAGGAAAAGGAAUCAGGCAAGUACUGUCCCAAGGCAGCUGGAGGGUGAGGGCUGAGUGCCCUGGCUUCCUCACUUGGGGAGACCAUGGGUCUCUGUAGAAAUUCCAAUAAAAAGGCAGGGAAAUUUGACUGCAUGGAAUCUUCAGGUAGAAAUGUUUCUCUUGCCUAAAUUCAGGUGCUAAAUAAACAACAAAAUGGUAACCUCUACUAUGAAGCAUUUCCAACGAUGGGAUAUCUGAGGCCAUUACAUUCCCGGGAAUAACAUGGUGAGGUGCAGGAUGGUGGUGGUGGUGAAACAUAUGACAGACCACUGUAAGUGAGAACAAAUUACUGGCCCAGCCCAACCCACACCAAAUAAGAAAUUUAAUAUCCCUUUGGCCUGUUUUAGAUUUUGGCAAAGCCAGGCCCAUAGUGCUUGCUGGGCUCUCUCUUCCACAUCAUCCAGAAGACACACAUUUGCUAUGGAAUGAUUGUGGAGAUGGAGGCUGGGGCUUCCUUCCUUUCAGAUAUUGGUGCUAACUUGAUGCUGACCAAAGAAUUGAUGGGAUCUGCACACUGUAAAGCCGGUUUCAGGAUGGCUGAGCUGACGGUCAAGAAAGAAGAGAAGAUAUGAGCCGCCUGCAUUUUGGGGUGGUGGCACUGAAAUUUAGACUUGUGAUUUGGUAUGACAAUGUAUGGCUUUUUGUGAUUGUUAACAUUAAUGAAAACAAGAAAAAUUAGUUGCUCAAAGGUUGAAAAAUGGAUUUAUAAACUUUUUAUUAGAGUAAGGCAAAAGAACAUAUUAAAAUAGAGGUAAAUUAGAAAUGUCAAUAAGAACCCAUGGACAUUUUUUAUAAGGAGACUUUAUCUGUUCUGUCCCUACAGUGAUUUAUGCUUUUGGAUAUUUUUGCUGUCAUCCUGACAAAUUCUAGUUGGAAUGUGGAACAAGCUUAUUUGUAGACCUAGUGCCUGUGGCUUCUAAAGCAAUUUUCUGAAAAGAGAAACCACUGCCCGUUGGAAGAAUAGUUGAUUCCAUACCUCAAGCUAGGGAAAAAAAAAUCAGAAUUUGUCUGUGAAUUCUAGAUGUUGAGAGAAAGCAAGCUUUUAUUAGGGCAUCAGAGAGUCAUAAGUCCAUAGGAUGCAAAAAAGAAGAUGAAAUAAAAUUGCCUGAAAAACGCACCUGAAUUUCCGACAUUGUUUACUGAAAAGGCUGUGUAUUGAUGAACCCCAAUUAUGUGAGGUCUACAUUUAAGACUUUAUAAUCAACAGUUUGAAAAUGCAGGGUGUUGUUUCUUUCUAUAGGAGGCAAAACAGUCAGAAGGGAGUGUCACAGGACAUUAUCACAAUAUCAGAGUUCUCCAUGAAAUGUGGUUUAUUUGCUAGAAAAUAAUGCAAGCCUAUUGGAGAGAAUCAGGGCUUCUAGUGAUGCUAGGGAUGACCUUAAGCAUUAUUUGUAAAUCACACCUUUUCCUUAGUCUUUCAGCAGCAGCUGCACAGAGUAGGCCUGCUUCUUCCCAUGAAAGCCACACUGAGUUUUAUCAACUAGUAGUGUGUGGGCACUAUUGCAAGUUAUGUUGUGUUGUUUAUGGCCAUUUAUCCAACAGUGCUUUCCUCUGUGCAGGGCUCUGCAGCCUCAUUCUAUGUUAUUUUUAUUACCACGUGUCUGUGCGCCUCAGGUGGCAAAGCAGAAUCAGCUUCUCUACCCUCAGCAGGGCUCACUAUGACUCACUGUAAGGGAAGAAAAUCUUACAGAUGUCAGAAAAUGUUAGGUAAGUGGACAGUGAUAAACACAAAACAUCAAGUGGUCAAUAUCAAAGAGAAAAACAGUAUGUUGGUAAAGGAGAAGUAUCAAAGCUAGUUAAAAAAGUAAUAGGAGAAAUAUAAAGUAAAGGGACAAUACUCCACAAAAAUUUAGAUUGUAACUGAGCUUCUUCUCCUAAAGAGAUUUAAAAAUAAAGUAUAGGAAAUACGUGAAGAAACAAAGUAAAAUGCCGAGGUGGAAGUUUGACCAUGAAUAUCUAAGGAAAAACAAACUUGCACUAAAACAACCAAAUAUGCAAAAAUCAAGUGGAAAAACAGGUCAAAAUAAUGCCAGUUGAUGUCUGUAAGAACUAAAUGUAUAAUAAAAUAAGCGAAGAAAAUGGCCAGUUUAACACCAAUUGGUGCCCAUAAUAACAUGUUUAUUUGCAAAGUCUGUAUUUUACACACACACUAUGGUUUAUACAAAAUUUGAAGGCAACCAACUAACAACAGGUCUGUCAUCAACACAGGUUAGCACAGCACUGAACAUGUGCAACUAGGAGGUCAAAUCACUUUCCCCGAAGGAGGUGGCAGGAGGAGCCUGGUGUUAGCAAGAAGUGAGCAGCACUGUGGGAUGGUCCAGAGGACAGCGUGAUGGAGGUGGGAACUGGGUGAGAUCAAGCCAGGAACCCAGGAAGCUGGGCUUUGGUGUUGUAUGCAUGCAAAUCCUGAAUGGGUGUGUGAGAGAUCAGAGCCCUGCCAUGGUCAGUGUUGCCUCGCUGAGUCACUUCCCUCUUCUCUCCCAUGUCACUGUGACAACACACCCUGGGGCUUAUGAGCUAAAAUGGGUUCGCAGCAAUCAAGACAGCUUCCUUCUCCAAACAAACUGCUCUCCUUGCUCAUAAUAUCUAUGAAGAAAAGAUGAGACCCUUGGAGAGAGGGUGAAAAGGGAGGCUGUCAGCAUAGGAGCAUCUGUCCUUUACUAGCUCUUUAAAUAACUGCAGGUAGCUUGUGGGGAUUUGGGACAUUCUGCUCUGGACACCAUUGAAAACCUAUUGCCUGGAUGUAUGUAAAAAAUCCUGGAUGUAUGUAAAAAAAUCCAGAAGGUUCUAUCUUUAGAUCUUCAGUAAACAGGAGUGACAGGGGCCUGGAUGAGACAAGAGACUUGUCUUGCCUUUGCAGACAGUGAAUGUCAGCUUGAGGAGAAGAAAAGGGGGACUUCAAUGAUAAUUACUGGGGUGGGUUGGUUUGUUGGCCUCGUUGUGAAUGCCUGAAAACAACUUAGGGGUAUUUUGAGGAGUACAAAUUCCUCUCUUCACAGGUUGGGGACUUGAAGUCAAUUUCUAUAGUCACAGGCAGGUGAGUUCAUAGUCAAACUCAUGUUCCAUAUACAAUUCACUCAUUCCUGCCACUCACUCUUCUAUCUCCCUGGUUUGCUUCCUUACUCAGAUGUCAAGGAUUUCUAUCAUGUAGCUUUUUGAUGCUGCUUUACUUCUUCCUGUCUCUUGCUAUCACUAUCUGAACCUUAUGGCACCCAUAAGGUUCCUGGGGACAUAAGGUGUCUCUGGGGACAAGGUGAUAAUGCUGAGGAAAUGGGAGACAAGAACUCAGGGGAGCAGUCCCUAAAGCACAACAGUUCUGACAGUGGCCCAACUGGAUGGAGCAUACACUUGUUCACAGACUCCUAAAGGUGCUUGACUGCACCAGAACACACUCACCAAGCAAUGGACAUUGUUAAGUGUUCAGGCACAACCACCAAUGCUUCCAAUUGUUGUUGUAGAAAAAACUGAAUUGUUCUCAUCCAGUCACUUACCCAUCAUCACAGAUCCUUAAAUACCAUUUUCCCACUUCCAUUGACAUGUGUUAAAGAUUUACUUUGUUAUGCCCUGUUAGGUAUUUUAUAAGAUAACAUGCUAUCGUAUUUACCUAUAAUGCAAUAGUAGCUUACAGAUGAGAAAAAAAUAAGGUUUAGAGACCUACCUAAAAGUGACAUAGCUGAUAUUCAGAGCACUUGAGAUUCUGAUACCUAUGCAAACUCUACUUCUCAUCCCUCAUUUCCUAGUAAAUCUCGAAUUGAAACUGCCUGGUGUUCCCCUGCAGGGCUGGCAGGUCUUGAGGCGCCCUCCUUAACGGAUGAGUGGCUCCUGCUGUUGCUGCCCUCUCCCCUGUGUGAGUGGCCAGGAUGCUUCUAUGUGUUGUCUGGCCAGUGCUGGCCACUUGCUGAGCCACAGAGGCUUGCAGGGAAAGUGGCAUAAUGCAGCUACUCCACACUUGGACCCUUCAAAUCCAGGCAGAACAAGACCAAAUGUCAUAGGCCACAGCUUCAGAUGGAAUCUCUGAAUUGAGCAAAACGCUGGUUCUCAACCUUUUCUGGUCAGGUUCCAGUUUGUGCUGGAUCCUGAUUCCCCCCAGAUUUACUCCAUCAUCCUUCUCAUUCAGCUUAAUAAGAUGCGGUCACCAUUUACUGAGUGUUUAUACUAUGUGCCAGACACUGAAGCCCUUCAGAUGUUUAAUUUUUACAAGAACAUUUUGAGAUAUAUGGCUUUAUUAUCCAAAUUUUGUAGAAGAAAUAAAUCAGCUCCAAGCCAUUAAUAAGUGGCCCAAGAUUUCAAAAUUGGUAUGAAAUGUGGCAGGGAUUUGAACCAGUAGCCCAAGUCACUGGCUUUCUUGACUUGCGUAUUGACCUGCCAUCCCCUGGGGUUCUUGAUUUUGCCACCUUGUCUGACUCCAGACAUUGACCACACCUCUUCUUCCUUGUUUCAACUUAAUGACUCACAGGCAAUGUGGGUUCCUCAAUUUCCAGCUACAGUUUUGUGUUUUUUGAACUGAUGAUAUCAUUCAGCCAGACAUUUCCUGACUUGGAAGUUUCCUGAUCCCAUUGGCAACACCACACAAAUGUUCUGGGCUUAAUCCUUUGGAAAAUAAAUGGACUCCUUGUUCCUGCUGAGACCUACUCCUAUGUUGAAAACCAGGGCUAACUAAUUUCUAAAGCCAGGCAGGGCCUAAAUUGCUAUUUUUUGGGUCAGUGUCUAUCUAUACUAUUUCCUACCUGUUAAAAGACCUGUAGAAAUCCAACUAUAUAAAAUAUAGGUUUAUUGUUCUUUGUGUCAA